CACAGAUGGAGUGGAGCAGCUGAGCACAGGCCGUGAUUUACCUUCCAUCUGUCAGCAUUCAAGCUCCAGUGUUAGUUCCGCUGGAUUGGAAAAAGGGGGAAGCUGUGAAGGAGAAGGACUUUUGCUUGACAGAUCAGACUUUGAAGGAAUGAGUCAAAUUAAGAAGAGAAGGCCAACAAGAAAAGAGCUUCCCUGGGAGGAUCUCAGAGACCCAGAAACCUCUGAGAAAGCAGCAGCCAAUGGAAAGAACACUGGCCAGUUAACAGAACUAGGCACUACUUUGAGCUCUUCCUUUUCAUAUCCCAGGAACACUAGGCCUCAUGUUUUCCUAGACGAAAGCCAAAGAGAGACCACAGCUCUGUCAGCGAACAGAGAUGAGAACCCGUAUCAGAAUGAUGAUGUUUGGAACCAGGAGGUCUCAAACUUGUCUGAAUGGACAUCCUGAAAGCAGUCCCAGUAUGAAGA